AAAGGUAAGCUACUAAGAGCGAAUGGUGGAUGCCUUGACUGGUAAAGGCGAUGAAGGACGUACUAGACUGCGAUAAGCUACGGGGAGCUGUCAAGAAGCUUUGAUCCGUAGAUUUCCGAAUGGGGCAACCCAAUGUAUAGAGAUAUACAUUACCUAUAUAGGAGCGAACGAGGGGAAUUGAAACAUCUUAGUACCCUCAGGAAAAGAAAUCAAUAGAGAUUGCGUCAGUAGCGGCGAGCGAAAGCGCAAGAGGGCAAACCCAGUGCUUGCACUGGGGGUUGUAGGACUGCAAUGUGCAAGAGGUGAGUUUAGCAGAACAUUCUGGAAAGUAUAGCCAUAGAGGGUGAUAGUCCCGUAUGCGAAAAACAAACCUUAGCUAGCAGUAUCCUGAGUAGGGCGGGACACGAGAAAUCCUGUCUGAAGCUGGGUCGACCACGAUCCAACCCUAAAUACUAAUACCAGAUCGAUAGUGCACAAGUACCGUGAGGGAAAGGUGAAAAGAACUGAGGUGAUCAGAGUGAAAUAGAACCUGAAACCAUUUGCUUACAAUCAUUCAGAGCCCUAUGUAGCAAUACAGGGUGAUGGACUGCCUUUUGCAUAAUGAGCCUGCGAGUUGUGGUGUCUGGCAAGGUUAAGCAAACGCGAAGCCGUAGCGAAAGCGAGUCUGAAUAGGGCGCUUAGUCAGAUGCUGCAGACCCGAAACGAAGUGAUCUAUCCAUGAGCAAGUUGAAGCUAGUGUAAGAACUAGUGGAGGACUGAACCCAUAGGCGUUGAAAAGCCCCGGGAUGACUUGUGGAUAGGGGUGAAAGGCCAAUCAAACUUCGUGAUAGCUGGUUCUCU
rnacentral:rRNA from 1 species